rnacentral:rRNA from 1 species
CCUACGGGAGGCAGCAGUGGGGAAUCUUGCGCAAUGGGCGGAAGCCUGACGCAGCAACGCCGCGUGCGGGAAGAAGGCCUUAGGGUCGUAAACCGCUUUCAGGGGGGACGAAGCUUCCGGGGUUAAUAGCCUACGGGGUGACGGUACUCCCAAAAGAAGGUCCGGCUAACUACGUGCCAGCAGCCGCGGUAAUACGUAGGGACCGAGCGUUGUCCGGAAUCAUUGGGCGUAAAGAGCGUGUAGGCGGCUUGGUAGGUCUCGUGUGAAAUCCCGCGGCUCAACCGCGGAUCCGCACGGGAAACCCCUAAGCUCGAGUCCGGAAGAGGAGAGUGGAAUUCCUGGUGUAGCGGUGAAAUGCGCAGAUAUCAGGAAGAACACCCGUAGCGAAGGCGGCUCUCUGGGACGGUACUGACGCUGAGACGCGAAAGCGUGGGGAGCAAACAGGAUUAGAUACCCUGGUAGUCCACGCCGUAAACGAUGGGCGCUAGGUGUGGGAGGUGUCGACUCCUCCCGUGCCGAAGCUAACGCAUUAAGCGCCCCGCCUGGGGAGGUACGGCCGCGAGACGUAAACUACAANAGAGUGACGG